CGGAUGGUGCUGCUAGUGAGCGAGAGCCUCCUGACCCUGGCGCGUGACAGGGACCCGGCCACAGCCCACCUG
rnacentral:tRNA from 1 species